ACUGGCCAGAACAUUACAUAUUGCUCUAUUUCUAACAUACACAUUUGAGUGUACCGAAAGUAGCGUAGUUUUGCUCUGUUGCAGACACGUUUGCAAGAUUGUCAUUGUGCUAAAUAUAACAUGUGAUCUCAUCUGGAGAUGAUUGUUCUAACGCAGGUAAGAUUGUUUCUUUUAGAUAUCUUAACUGAUAGAUUCAAAUUAUAGUCCCUGAGAUAAACUUUCCCUAUUUGACCUGAAGACAAAUGGGUUCUAGCCCAAUCAGCAGUGAAAAUCAUGUGUACAAAAGGUAACAUAGUACGCAUAUUAUUAAUAAUAAUAAUAAGAAUAGAACCAACUAUAUUUAAAUAUAUAUAUAUAUAUAUAUAUAUAUAUAAUGGCAAGCUAUAUGCAAAUAGCAUUUUUCCCUGUCUGUGUACUGUGAACUUGUAGUUGGUUCCAAAUUGGAGAAGGAAGGGAAAUGGUGUGACGUAAUUAUGGCAGUUGCAAGCAUUUGGUCUGUAUAAUUAAUUUAUUUACUCUCUGCAGACAUAUUCUAGGCAUUGGGCGCUCUUUUGCUAUGCUGUUCUCUCGCCUGUUCUUUGAUGCAUUUACAGCUGCAGAAGGUUUCUCAUAUGGUUAUGUCAACUGUGCACUCUAAAGGCAGUGCUUUGUAUGACCCUGCAACACUGCUAUUCAGUUUUGUAAUGUCUUAUUUGUCCGGGAUUUCAAUGCAGGAGGGUGAUUUGUUUUGAUGUUGUAGACUUUUUAAUUCGAAUCAGUAAGCAUGGCUUGGAAUAUCACAGUAUAUUAAUGAAGUUGCCACCAGAAAUGCGAGAAUGCUUACCCUUUGGAUAAAUUAGAUGUUUCAAAAAAAAAAAAAAUUGUCUCAGAAUGUGGAUCCACAAAAAAAUAAAUCACAGUUUGCAUAUUGUUCAAUCAAAUGUUUUUGUUAUAUGAUUCAACAUUUUGCUAUUUAAAAAUAUAUGUAUAUUUAUAUAUAGACUUGAACAUCAAUACACUUGCACAUAUAUACAUAUAUGCAUAUAUCAAUGUAUAUAAAAAUAAUAAUGAAAUAAAUAAAUAUAUAUAUAUUAAUGUUAUUAUUAUUAUUUUUUUUUAUAUAGUAUGCACACACACUUACACAUACAUGUGCAAUCCAUUCUUAACCUUCUGGGUGCCAGAGGAUUGCAUGCCUUACGCAAUGUUUUGACGCACAAAUGGUUAUGUUUUCCUCAUUCUUAAAUGUUUAUAAAAAAGGGGGUUUCCAAUUGCUUCUUCUUUAGUUGAGAGGUCAUGACUUAUAAUAGCUCAUGUAAAUAUUCGCAACCUAUGUGAAUCCUUUGCAAUCAUCUUGCUUGUUAGAAUACUGUAAGGAACAAAACUAAAAUGCAAUAGACACAAACACCUUGAGUGAAUGCAAUGUCAAGCAUUUGUCUUUAGAAAAAUAAUUUAACAAACCACAUUCAAAGACCAUAUGAGAUGUAUUUCAAUAGACUUAACUACAGAAAUAAGAACCUAGAAAUUAUGUGCCAAGAAUAGCACAGAGCGUUUAGUAAGAGCUAAUAAAAAUAUAAACACCAGGCAAUCCAACAAAUGUUUUUGUAAGGAAAUAAUCAGAAAAUUUGUGAGCAACAGCGCCCUCUACAUGUAGUUUUAUUAUUGUAAUUAAUGAAAUAUACAAAGAUCCAGACUACAUUUAUUUCCCAGGUAAAACAAACUCAGGUGGCUCUUGUAUCAAUGAAGCUGUAUUUUCAAUUCAUCAUGUAAUUUGCAAUCCAUAAGCAGGAUAAUGGGAUUGUGAUUGCUUAUAUCAAAAGAUAAACAUGUCUGCAAAAUUCCUUUUAAAGAAAUAGCAAAUUUGUGUAUGUCUGAAAUUGAGAAAAUGAAAUGUGAGAUAUUAUUGUUUGAUUAUCCACUCUGAAUGUAAGCUCCACUGUACAAAAAUGUUUUCCUGCAAAAAACAAAAAAGAACACUAUCACCGAGUGGUGACUAAUGCAUGAGGUUAAUAUGGUGUAGACAAUAUAACCUUCCAUUUAAUUAAGGCGCAGUGUUAAGAUAUGAAAAAUGUAUUGUAUGACCUUGGUCUGGUUAUUUUUUUACAUGUAAUUUUUAUAUAUUGUAUGCACAUAUAACAUACAGCCAAACACACAUGUAGUUAUUAUUUUACUUUUUUUUUCUUACACAUUUAAGCAAUGAAAAGCAAAAAAAUUAGAAAUGUACAAAAAUGAUCAUUUUUAAUAUAAACAUCUGAUUUGCAUUUUACAUGGUGGUUUGCAUCCUUUCUACAAGUAAGCGUUAACAUAGUAUGUGUCACCUCAGCUGCACCAUGCACCAAUUAACUGAAUGGUUGCAACUUUUUAAUGUUGUCUUGACCAAUGAUUACUAGUUAAGCGAUUUGCUGAUAAUUACAGUUUAUCAAUGUGCACCACAUUUCAAAGUACAUUCACAAAGAAACGUGAAUCAAUUUUAGCUCCCUGUGUUCUCUCUGAAUCCAGUUGAAGACCAGAUAAUGGGAGUGUUAGAUGUUGUCUUUGCCGUAUUGCUUGAAUGUAUACAUGCUGUCUAGAAGAAAAGGAAAUAAAAAAAAAUAUACAUAAAAAAUGUAAUAAAAAAAUAAAAUAUGUAAUAUUGCUCCCUCUACACACACACCCACACACAGGUAUAGUCUAUAUAUAUAUAUAUACUCUCAAACACACACACAUACACACAUAUAUAUAUAUAUAUAUAUAUAUAUAUAAAAAUUGAAAAAUUGAAAUAGCCAUUUAGCAAAUUUCAUAUGUAAAACAUAUUCAAGAUAUCACAGUAGCAAUUUAUUAAACAUGUUAUUUACUAGCAAGAAAAUAUAAUUUGAUAUCAGUUAUUGUAUUCUUCAACUCAUUUCUUUAAGUGUGUGUAUAUAUAUAUAUAUCUAUAUAUAUACACACACACACACACACACACACACACACACACGCACCUUAUUAGACAGAUAGAUUAUAUAUAUGAUAGAUAGAUAGAUAGAUAGAUAUUUUUUCUUGAGAGCAUGGGCAUAACAAUGAUAAAUGUAAAUGAUAAUCUAUGUUAUCCUCUACUCUUUUGAAUAUAUUAAUACAUAAAUAUACAUAGGUGAAGAAUAGAAUUUUCAUCCAAAGUGUUUGGCUUGAAAUAUUUAUAAUGGCUUCUAAAUGAACGCACAAUUCAUUUAUUUGAAUUAUAUUAUUACAUUAAUGCACACAUACCUGCUUGUAUUAUUUAAAGCAAAAAAAAAAGUGUAUUUCCAUUUGGUCCAGACACUCUUAGCUUUGGCUACAUGCUACUUGUAAUUUAGUCUAUUUUGGAUGUUUAACCAUCUGGUGUCAAAGGAUUUUGAAAUGGAUUAUAAAGUAAUGCAUCACCAUGUUUUAAGCACCUACAGAGUGGUGGACAUAUAAUUGACACAUUGUUCUCCUAGUAAUAUCUGCGAUAACAAAUGGAACAAUACAAUCUUGUUCACUUCCAGUCCUGCUUGAUAUACAUGAAGACAUCAGCUGUAUUGAUAAUGUUAAAACAUACAGUACACAGUCAGGACAACGCAGACACGAUUCCUUGGAUCACUUUGUCCAGAUCAAGGACAAUUUAAAGUAGUGAACGGGUAGUGCAAAAUCAUUGUUUCUUAUGUUCUGUGCUUGUGACUGCUGUAAUAAUCAAGGCUGAUUUACAAAUGCAGCCUAGAAGGUUUCUCAGCUUCCUGCCGUGUAGAAGACUGUUACUUUGGCACUCACACUUGUGCCUUUGUAAUCACCACUCAAAAACUGUGCCCUGGUACUUCCAAUUCCCAGUCUCUUGAUUGAACACCUCAUUCUGUGCUAACAAGGUGUCCAUGCUUCCUGAACGCAGACCGCAGUCAGAAAAUUGUUAAUGGUUUCGCUCAUUAAGACUUGUUCCACUAGUUUUGGUAAUUUGGUUACUCUAAAUUGUAGUUAGAUUUUUUUGCUUAAACUCUAAAAAUGAUGAUAAAAUUGACAACUAGCAAAAGCCACCACUAGCGGUUACUGUACAUGUCCAGUGUAUUAUACUUCAUUAGAUAAAUAGACUAUCUUUCUAUAAUAUAUAAUAUAUUGCAGCAAAUUAAAGCUGAUGUGUUCACUUAACACAGAACAAAAAGUGUUUAUACGCAAACAAACCAAAAAAUUUGUAAUAUGAACUUGCAUCACACAGACCAAAAAACAAUAAUAAAACAAAUUAGUACUCAUCGCAAAGUUUUUUAUUCAAAUUUUUAAUAUAAUUUUUACAGGAACUUAUAAAAUGUAGUUCUGUCUUUUUAAAUGGUAUAAGAAAUGAUGUAAUUAAUAGAAAAAAAAAUCUUAUGGAAACUAUUUAAUAGUUUUUCACUUUAUUCUGCUUUACAUUUCUUAACACAAUUCUAGCGUUUGGACUUUGUAGUAGAAUUAAAACAAAAUCCCAAAAUGUGGAUUAAAUGAGUGAGACAUUUGUCUCUAAUUGAAAUAAUACAUUUAAAUUAUUUAUGUUGCAAAUAUUUUUAUUUUCUAUAUAAAAAUAGUUAUUAUUGGCAUUCUUUCUUAAAAUAAAGAUUACAGACUGAAAUGCAUGCUUCUGGUGUAAUAACUAAAAUUUUAUAAACAUUUACAAUAUUCAUGAAUGUCAACCGACGAACCUGCAUUGAAUUUAUCAGAACAUAAAGAAUAUAUGAAAAUAGUUUUAAUGGGUAAGGAAUAAUGUAGGAACCUAGAAUCAUUUGUAGCAUAUGAUUUCAUUCUUUGUAACAUACAAUACAUUAUAAUGCAUUGUUUUAAAGGUUUGUUUUACCUAAAUAUCCGUGCUUUCCAUUUUAAUAUCACAGUUAUUAAACAACAGGGAUUUGUUUUACAAGAACUGUGAUUUUUGCUAUGUUCGUUGCAUAUAAUUUUAGAACAUGCAUAUACAUUUUAAUGCACAAUAAACUAAAAUUAAUUUCUUAUCAACUUCAUAGCUUACAGUACAAGUUUGAUGCUUUUAAAUAUUAUGAAUUUAAUCAGCUGCAAAUCAGAGGAUUAUAACUUCAAUCUCAGUUUAACGCAUACAAUUUUUUAUGCAAAUUUUCCUCUUUUUUUGCUUCAAUUCAAUUGCUUGGUGUAAAAUCAUUAAAUGCUGUGAAUGAUUAAAAAGGUAUUUAAUCCCUUCCACUUAUAUUAAAGAAAAAAGUCCGUGGUUGCUGUUGACUGUCAUGUAUUUCUUAAAAGCACUACAUUUAUUUGAAUACGAUGUUUGAUGUUGGUUUUACCCUAUCUCUCCACGUUUAACUUAUUCACUACCAAUGUGGAACACAAAGGUUGAUCAAAGGUUUAAACAGCCUUUAGGAGCAAUAAAGAACAGACAUCAACAUGAAGCAUUAUUUAAAAAAAAUACAGCAUAAUAAAGUGUUCUUUUAAUUAGCUAACAGGAAAAUAUUUGCUUAGUUUUUUUAAGACAAAAAAUAUAUCCUGUUUCAUCACACCAUUUUCAUCAGUACACUAUUAAAACCAUGUAAUAAAAAAGUAUUUCUAGUAAGUGUUCAGUGUCCCACAAUGUAAAUGCUGUUUGUUGCACACAUCGAUCAGCAGAAUUGAUGAAAUCUCAAUACUAAAAUUCAGAAUACAACAUAACUCCUUCACUGAAAUCAAAACACUCCUAAACCGCUUGCAAUAUAUUUAAAAAAUAUUAUUUAAAUACUCGCUGUUUUCUUUCCUAGUGUUUCCUACACUUUUCUUAAUAUUUUAACCCCUUAAGGACACAUGGCAUGUGUGACAUGCCAUGAUUCCCUUUUAUUCCAGAAGUUUGGUCCUUAAGAGGUUAAACAUGAAAACUUUAAUGUAAUGUCUUCCUCAACAAACUAGCAUUCUAAGGGUUAAAUGUAUUGACAAUGCAGUCUGUGAAGGCAUACGCAGGAUUAGACUCAGUCUUAUAAUUAAUGCUAAGCAAUCUCAAAUAACUUGUCAGAACGAAAAGAACUAAUGUAUUGUACUUUUACAAAACGCUGCUCAUAUACAAAAUGUUGAGUCGGGGUGUGUUUAUAACUUGCUAAACAGCAGAGUUGUAAAAAACUUGCAAUUUUGACAUAGUCUUUUAAUGCCGCUAUCUUUGGAAAAAUAAACCUUUUUUUUGAGAAUGUAGAGAUUUGAGCUUUAAUCUAAUUUGUACUUGUUUUACUAUUCCAACAGAGAUCACUGUUUAGUUAAUAAGCCUCUACAUGUAUAACUAUUACAUUUCUUCUUUGUAUUGCAAGUGAAUUAGUACAUCAUUUGAUAUUUAAAUAAGGUAACAUAGGUAUUUCUAAAACAUACAGAAAAAGCUUAUUAUAUGAUAGCAAUUUGAUUUUAACUUUAGAGGUGGCUGUUGUGAAACAUGUUUUGGAUAUAAUAGCAAUUAACAUGAAAUCAUAACUCUAUAUUUGACUAUAUCAUGAUUGUAAUAAUUUCAUGAGAUAAUAAAAAUACCCAAAAAUGUAUUGUGAUGUAUGCGAAUGAGCUAUACAUUUUCAGAUCUAAUACAGAUACAUAACAAUUAAAAAAAUUACGGGAUUUAUUCUCUAACAUUGACUUAUAAUGAAUUCACAGUCAACCUUAAAAAUGCAGGCCUAAGUAGUUGAGCUGGAAAAAGGUAUAGCAGAGAUUUGUCUUUUAUUCAACUCAAUGUUUAGUGAAAACUCUACAAAACAUUCAUUAAUGGGGACACUCCGGACAGCAAUAUAAAAUCAGCUAAUCUGAUACAUUUUGGGCUAAUUGCGCAGUUGUACUUUUUUUCUCAGCAGUUCUGUAUCAUUGAAUCAAAAAUGAGAAAAAAAUUAAAAAAUUAAAAAAUUGCUGUUUAGUAGAUAUACACCCAAUGAAAACAUGCAUGCAUUUAAUUUUAUUUUUUUUCAUUUGGGUUAUAGGUAUAAAAACAGCUUGUUAUAGCUGUAGUUCCCUUGUCUGCAUUUCCAACCCCUCCCCUUUUAACUACGCAAAGAGUUUUUGCGACUGUCCAAUCACAAACCUCCUAAUGCAACUCAAUGAGAAGUCUUUGCAUGGCAGGUGCUUCAGUGAGCUAAUCAAAUCUGGAAGUAAAAGGAUCGGUUAUCUGAUUGACAGCAAGGGGUUUAACAAGGUAAAUUUAUAAAAGUGCACAUUUCUAGUGAAAUCUGCGUUUUAUUAUAAUUAAAAAAAGGGACUCACUCUUCACACAUAAACCAUUUCAGUAACUUAAAGUGAUCUAGGAGUGUACCUUUAAUCAUGACUCUUUUUUCACACAAACUGUUCCCGACAGGGUAUGUACAGAACUCAGCCAAAGUGACCAGAGAUUAAAGUGAAAUGCUAAAGACAAGUAACCUAC